AUACUAGAAUCAGUAUUAGCAUCAUCUUCAUUUUCCUUCUCUUGAUGUUUGUUACUAGACAAACUUGGACACUUUCUUUGUAAGAAAGUUUGCAUUAAAGCAGUGCAGUGCCUCUCAGCAGGAUUCAUUACCUCCACUGGACACCUUGCUAAGGCAGUUUUACAGCUUCCAGUACUGAGGGUUUGCCUGGCCCACCAGGUGAAAAAGGUGAAAAUGGUGAUGUGGGCCCGAUGGGUCCACCUGGUCCUCCAGGUCCAAGAGGUCCCCAAGGUCCUAAUGGAGCUGAUGGUCCUCAAGGUCCCCCAGGCUCAAUUGGCUCUGUUGGAGG
rnacentral:lncRNA from 1 species